AUAGUCGUAAGUCGGGGUUUAGGUGUAGUAAGAGAAACAAUUGAGACCCUGCAAUUCAAGUUCAUAAAUUUGCAGGUACAGGUUGAACCUCCCUAAUCCGGUACCUCCAGUCGUCCGACAAAAUUUUAGUUUGCUGGACGGCCGCUAGUAGUACCCACCGGUUCGGCAUACCCGAUGUUUACAUCUGGUUCUUGUGGAGUUUGGUGAACAUCACUAAUUUAUGUACCGUAACUAUUUUGUCAUUUUAAGUGCAGAAUGAGAAUUAUUGUUAUCUAGUUUUGUUUAUUACAAUUACACUGUAUAGUACUGUAUUAUGUUAACUGUAGUUGAAAUACAUUACCUGUACAGGUAUUUCAUUUU